UGGGGAAUAUUGCACAAUGGGCGCAAGCCUGAUGCAGCCAUGCCGCGUGUAUGAAGAAGGCCUUCGGGUUGUAAAGUACUUUCAGCGGGGAGGAAGGGAGUAAAGUUAAUACCUUUACUCAUUGACGUUACCCGCAGAAGAAGCACCGGCUAACUCCGUGCCAGCAGCCGCGGUAAUACGGAGGGUGCAAGCGUUAAUCGGAAUUACUGGGCGUAAAGCGCACGCAGGCGGUUUGUUAAGUCAGAUGUGAAAUCCUCGGGCUCAACCUGGGAACUGCAUCUGAUACUGGCAAGCUUGAGUCUCGUAGAGGGGGGUAGAAUUCCAGGUGUAGCGGUGAAAUGCGUAGAGAUCUGGAGGAAUACCGGUGGCGAAGGCGGCCCCCUGGACAAAGACUGACGCUCAGGUGCGAAAGCGUGGGGAGCAAACAGG
rnacentral:rRNA from 1 species